GGGGUCGUAGCGCAGUUGGGAGCGCGCUACAAUGGCAUUGUAGAGGCCGAGGGUUCGAAUCCCUUCGACUCCA
rnacentral:tRNA from 1 species